UACGUAGGGGGCUAGCGUUAUCCGGAAUUACUGGGCGUAAAGGGUGCGUAGGUGGUUUCUUAAGUCAGAGGUGAAAGGCUACGGCUCAACCGUAGUAAGCCUUUGAAACUGGGAAACUUGAGUGCAGGAGAGGAGAGUGGAAUUCCUAGUGUAGCGGUGAAAUGCGUAGAUAUUAGGAGGAACACCAGUUGCGAAGGCGGCUCUCUGGACUGUAACUAACACUGAGGCACGAAAGCGUGGGGAGCAAACAGGAUUAGAUACCCUGGUAGUCCCUGAGCGGG
rnacentral:rRNA from 1 species